rnacentral:lncRNA from 1 species
ACAGCCUAACCCAACCUAAGGUUACAUAUUGAUCCCAUUCCAUUCCUCUUCUAUGGCCGCCAUAAGGGAAAGAGAGAGGGGUUUGAUCCGAGAAGAGUGAAGGAGUUUUGAUAUAGAUCAAGACUUAACCAAAGAGUGGAUUGGGCACACGAUCAGACAAAUUUAGAUCUAUAAGGCUCCAAACAAAUUGAGCUGCUUAUGGAUAGCUAAAAU